rnacentral:tRNA from 1 species
GAAAAGAUAAGCUAAGAUUAAGCUGAUGGGUUCAUAUCUCAUAUAUGAAUAAUAAAUUCUCUUUUUA